GAAAAUAUCAUGAGACGAGAAAUAUAGCGGGACAGGUUUGGAUUGAUAUGAAAUAUAGCAGGACGAGUUUGGAUUGAUAUAACACAGGUUAAAUAUUUAUUUUAUUAUUUUAUCAUCACCAAUUGUUUUAGUUACAACAUUAAUAUAAUACUAGAUUUUAACCCGCGGUAUACCGUGGGGACAAUUUAUUUUUUAAAGUUAGUAUAUAUAAAAAUUUGUAAAUUGUAUCUAUCUAUAAAAUAUUUUUAUUUUAUAGUUUACAACUUUAUUAAGCAACGUCCUGCCAAACCCGUCCCGCAAAACCCAUCCUGCAAAAAAACCAUUUAUUUUAUUAAUGUUGAUUUUAUUUAUGAAUCAUUGUCUAAAUAUUUUAGUCGAUGCGGGAUGUUGAACCCACACAUUUUUUGCUAAUUGGUUAAUAUAUGUUCAUUUUUAAAAUUUUGAAUCACAAAAUAUGACGAAACUUUUUUUGAGAUUUUUUAAACUAUAUAUUAUAUAAUGAUGUUAAAUUUUUUGAUAUAUUAAACUUUUUAUAAGUUUAAAUAUUAAUAAUAUUUUAUAAAGUUUAAAUAUAUAAAUAAUAAUAUUUAA
rnacentral:sRNA from 1 species